AAACGGCGUGUGGUCCUCUAGCUUGGCUGCACUCAGCUGACUGCAAGGAAUCAAACAGGGAAUACUGUGGGUGAAAAACCCGAUAAAAUAAGAACAUUCCUCGGGCGAACAAAGGAGCACAACUGCUGCUAAGCCAAACACAAAUGAGCCAUAAACAAAUGGCAGGUAUUUGUAUAUAUUUUUUUUUGCGUAGUACUGGCUAAUUUUGUGAAUGGAAAACAACCCAUCCCAACCCAUCCAAUCCAAUCCCAUUCGAUCCCAUCCCAUCCCACCACCUACGUAUUUAUGGGUCGACGUCAUGGUUCUUUGAGUUGAGGCACAAACAAUAAACAUAUUGCCAAAAUACCUACAUGUAGUAUAUACGUAUAUAUCCAAAUUUGUAUCUGUACACCUCAGAAAUGCCUGUUUAUAAUUAGUUUUGCGGAGUGUAUAAUAAAUGGAGGCGAUGUGAAAAUAGCGCGCUUCUAAAAUGGUA
rnacentral:sRNA from 1 species